rnacentral:lncRNA from 1 species
UUUGAAACAGUGAAAGGCACGUUAAUACCGGAAGGAUCACAUGAAUUCAAUUAGCAAACAGAAAGUAUAUAUGAUAGAGGUUGUAGAAUAGCCGACUUGUAUCAAAAUAAUAAUAAUGAAGUUAACCGAAAACGUAACCCUAACGAUGAUUAAAUAGUACCGAAUAAGCCAGAAACCUUAGAUAAUGAUUAAAUAUUACGGGUCAAAGAACUUUCACCACAAUAU